rnacentral:rRNA from 1 species
UAUCUCUGUAGAGUCUGCAUAUCAAUAAGCGGAGGAAAAGAAACUAACAAGGAUUCCCUUAGUAACGGCGAGUGAAGCGGGAAGAGCUCAAAUUUGAAAUCUUCAAGGUUCUACCUUGACGAAUUGUAGUUUAAAGAAGUGUUUUCUGUUAGAUGAGUAGCAAAAGUUCCUUGGAAUGGGACAUCAUAGAGGGUGAGAAUCCCGUAUUUGGUUAUUCAUUCUAGCUUUGUGAUACACUUUCAAAGAGUCGGAUUGUUUGGGAAUGCAGUCCAAAAUGGGUGGUAAAUUUCAUCUAAAGCUAAAUAUUGGCGAGAGACCGAUAGCGAACAAGUACCGUGAGGGAAAGAUGAAAAGAACUUUGAAAAGAGAGUUAAACAGUACGUGAAAUUGUCAAAAGGGAAGCGUUUGACACCAGUGUUGUUUUUCCGAAAAUCAAUUACGAAUGGCUUGAUUCUGUGUUGUAUUGACCUUAUCAGCUUUCUUCACUUUUUUCGAGUCUUUCUUAAUGCACUUUUCGGUUAACAAGUCAACAUCAAUUUCUUUUGUUGUAAAAGAGUAUUCGGAAGGUGGCUUUCUUUUCGGAGAAAGUGUUUAUAGCCCUAUACUUCUACAAUCGGAGAGAUUGAGGUCUGCAGCGUAGAUCCUUCGGGGUUAGAUACACUUGUGCUAAGUUGUAGCUUUUCAUAGACAACUUGUUGACUAUGUUUAGUCAUGCGGCUUACUCGCUUGUGCUAUUUUACCUACGCUUAGGAUGUUGAAGAUGUAGCACAUCAU